GACGAACGCUGGCGGCGUGCUUAACACAUGCAAGUCGAACGGAAAGGCCCUGCUUUUGUGGGGUGCUCGAGUGGCGAACGGGUGAGUAACACGUGAGUAACCUGCCCUUGACUUUGGUAUAACUUCAGGAAACUGGGGCUAAUACCGGAUAGGAGCUCCUGCUGCAUGGUGGGGGUUGGAAAGUUUCGGCGGUUGGGGAUGGACUCGCGGCUUAUCAGCUUGUUGGUGGGGUAGUGGCUUACCAAGGCUUUGACGGGUAGCCGGCCUGAGAGGGUGACCGGCCACAUUGGGACUGAGAUACGGCCCAGACUCCUACGGGAGGCAGCAGUGGGGAAUAUUGAACAAUGGGCGGAAGCCUGAUGCAGCAACGCCGCGUGCGGGAUGACGGCCUUCGGGUUGUAGACCGCUUUCGCCUGUGACGAAGCGUGAGUGACGGUAAUGGGUAGAGAAGCACCGGCUAAUUACGUG
rnacentral:rRNA from 1 species